GCUGGGCGUGGUGGCGCACGCCUGUAAUCCUAGCUACUUGGGAGGCUGAGGUGGGAGAACUGCUUGAACCCGGGAGGCAGAGGUUGCAGUGAGCCAAGAUCACGCCACUGCACUCUCCAGCUUGGGCAACAGAGCGAGACUCCGUCUCAA
rnacentral:SRP_RNA from 2 species